rfam:Nelumbo nucifera unplaced genomic scaffold scaffold00011, whole genome shotgun sequence
AAAUAGGUGUUUUUCAACACCACAUCAACAUAAUGUUACCAACAACA